rnacentral:lncRNA from 1 species
GAAUAAUUUACUUCUGAUGGUGACAGAGACAGGGAGCAGGGUACUCAUCUCAGUAUAGAACAGCCCCACAAAAUCACCUCCAGUUCAUCUUUACACUUAGUCCCUUACAUGUGAGUUACUCCACACAUGUUGAGUUGACCAGGCUCUACUCUCCAGAGGAACAGAGAGCAGCACACUGCAUGUUCUAUAAGCACAGUGGCACGUUUAGCACCACACAGCCUUGAUGUGAUUUUCUCUGUGGACGUCAGCAGAACCAGUUUUCAUAACUUACCUUCAUACUUUUUCAUAUUUAUGCAGAAUGACAACUUGCUCAUUCUUACCAACUUGUCUGUGAUUUUGCUGAAUUGCAGCCAUGACUUCAGCAAAGGCUCUUAUGAACCUGCAGAUCCAGUGAACACAGCCCUUCAUGUCCUUGUUCAUAGAAUUUGUGGAUACAUUUCUACUGAAUCAGACCUCAAGCUUGUAUAAAAGGGCUCACUCGCUCCUUCUGUGACUUGAUGGUUUCUUUUUGGUUCAAACGAAAAAUGUGAAGAUUUCCUCAGAACAGCAAUGGCUGUAGUAAAUCCACAUUAAAGCCGUUUCAUCCUUUUUCUGACAAAGAAUUAUUUUCUCACAGAAAAGAAAAUCUCAGUAUAUUUCCAGCUUUAAUGCACAAAUGAAUUUGGGUCACACCUCAUAUUUAGCUGUGUUCAGAAAUAUGAAAU